CCUUAUUUUUGCAGAUUUGAAAGAAAGAAAUUAAUUAAGAAGAUUUUAAUUUAGUAGUAUUUUGGAAUAAGGAAUUUUUAGAACUGUGAAGGGGUAAAAUUGUAAAAAGAGAAAUUUUUAGGGAGUGUACCUUUUGUAUCAGGGCUUAUCAAAUUUUAUUAAGGAUUUAAUUGUCCCGAAGAGUAAUGAGCUAUAGUUUUUAGUAGAUUCUGUUUCAGAAGAGGAAGAAAAAAACUUUAGAAGUGAAAAGCUAUUCGCAUUAUUUGAUAUCUGGUUUCUCAAGAAAUAAAUUUAGUUUUAUUUUUAAUGAAAAGAAAAAUUUAAUCGGGAUAAGCUGGUUAAAAGCUCUCGAGCAGUUUAAUAUCUCUUUGAAAGGAAUAAAAUUUUCCUUUAGUUGUUGUAAUAGAAAAGAGAAAAAUUUUUAUUGGAGGUGUUUAUUGAGAAGUCAUUUAAAAUUCUUAGAAUUGUUUAAUUCUGAUAAGAUUAGUAGUAAAUAAAAUUUUAUAAGAGAAUUAAAGAGAAAUUACUUUCAAGAACUUGACUUUCUUUUCCGGAAAGUUUAACAAAAACCUAUUUUUAUGUUUUUAUAUAAAAUGUGCCCUGCCCUAUGCAAAAGUAAAUGGCUGCAGUAUUUCUGACUGUACAAAGGUAGCAUAAUAAUUAGUCUUUUAAUUGGGGACUGGAAUGAAAGGGUAAACUGGAAAAGCUUUUUUAAAAGUAAGAGGAUGAAGUUGACUUUUUAGUAAGAAGGCUAAAAUAGUUCUUAAAGACGAGAAGACCCUAUAAAACUUUAUAUUUAAUUUUCUCUUAGGUGAGAGAGUAGGUAUUUUACUGGGGCGGUAGAAAAAAAUGAAUCUUUUUCUAAAUCUAAAGACUUUAAAUCUUUUUAUCUAAAAUUUUUAAAAGAAGAAUAAGUUACUUUAGGGAUAACAGCUUAAUUCAUUUAGAAAGUUCUAAUUGACAAAUGUGUUUGUGACCUCGAUGUUGAAUUAAAAGUCCUUUUUAGUGCAAAAGCUUUGAAAGGAGGUCUGUUCGACCUUUAAAUUUUUCCAUGAUUUGAGUUCAAAUCGGUGUAAGCCAGGUUGGUUUCUAUCUUAAGAAUGAAGGUAGUAAAUUAGUACGAAAGGACCAUUUAUUUAAAAUUAUUUUAAUUUCAAGAUGGCAGAUUUUAUGCGGU
rnacentral:rRNA from 1 species